rnacentral:rRNA from 1 species
GGCCAGACUCCUACGGGAGGCAGCAGUGAGGAAUAUUGGUCAAUGGCCGAGAGGCUGAACCAGCCAAGUCGCGUGAGGGAAGACGGCCCUACGGGUUGUAAACCUCUUUUGUCGGGGAGCAAAGCGAGUCACGUGUGACUCAUUGAGAGUACCCGAAGAAAAAGCAUCGGCUAACUCCGUGCCAGCAGCCGCGGUAAUACGGAGGAUGCGAGCGUUAUCCGGAUUUAUUGGGUUUAAAGGGUGCGUAGGCGGAAGGUUAAGUCAGCGGUAAAAUGUCGGUGCUCAACACCGGCCUGCCGUUGAAACUGGUCUUCUUGAGUGAGCGAGAAGUAUGCGGAAUGCGUGGUGUAGCGGUGAAAUGCAUAGAUAUCACGCAGAACUCCGAUUGCGAAGGCAGCAUACCGGCGCUCAACUGACGCUGAGGCACGAAAGCGUGGGGAUCGAACAGGAUUAGAUACCCGGGUA